AUGUGUGUAGGAUGGAGCUGGUGUAAAUCUAAAUAUUAACGUAAACUUUAAUAUUUAUCCUACAGGAUAUCCUCCGUCAGAAUAUGGAUACAGUCAAUACUCUGGAUACAAUAAUCAGCUGUACGGAUACAAUGGAUACAAUCCUUACUCCUAUCCGUCCUACCCCGCCCUCUCCUCCUACCCCUCCCUGCCCCCGGUAUCCCCGGGCAGGGUGGAGGCGGAGCCCCCUGAGCCAAGGGUUCGUAGAAGACGGAGAAGAAUGGCAAGGAAGGUUCUGGUUCACACUUGCAGUUUCUCCGGGUGCAACAAAACAUACUCAAAAUCCUCACAUCUCAAGGCACAUUUAAGAACACAUACGGGAGAGAAACCAUUUUUUUGUACCUGGAAGG